AGGCAUCUUUAUUUUUCGUUCUCUUUGCUGUUAGUUUAGCAUCCUUCGUAAAUGUUUUAUAAAUUUGCUGGUUGUGCCGUUUCUACCAUGCAGAUUCUAGCGGCGUGAAUGUUCCAGUCAAUAGAUCGAAAGUGUUUUGCUCUUCAAGAAAGCAGCUUCGUGAGAUUCCGGAGAACUAUGAUGGUGAAAGCGAACCCGGAAACGAUGAAGCGGAAGUCUGUCUAGCCGUCCAUGGUGGAUGGCAAUCAACGUUCAGUCACAUAUCCGGACAAACCUAAGACCUCGACUACUGAACAAGCAAGGGCACAAAUGCUGCCCCGCCAAAGAAGCUUCUCCUGCCACAGAAGCCCUGUGAUUGCCCAAAUCAUCUGGCACCUGUACAAAAAAAAAAAACAGAUUCCGGUGUUCAA